UACGUAGGGUGCAAGCGUUAAUCGGAAUUACUGGGCGUAAAGCGUGCGCAGGCGGUUUUGUAAGUUUGUCGUGAAAUCCCCGGGCUCAACCUGGGAAUGGCGAUGAAGACUGCAAGGCUAGAAUCUGGCAGAGGGGGGGUAGAAUUCCACGUGUAGCAGUGAAAUGCGUAGAGAUGUGGAGGAACACCGAUGGCGAAGGCAGCCCCCUGGGGUCAAGA
rnacentral:rRNA from 1 species